CGGCGCUUCCCGCACAGCCUGCGGCAGCACUGGGGGAGGCCGGAAAGCACCCCGCAGUGACGCUGAGGAGGGAACUCUACGCGAACCGCCCCGGCCAGCCGGUAUCUCCACACAGGCCCCGCUGAGAGCGGCACUUGAUGGGGGAGACCACACCGCUCCGCGCUCCCCCAAAACCGCCACGGACUACAGCUCCCAGCAUGCCCCGGGGCGGCGGCGCAUGCGCCCUGCUCACCAAACCCUCUGAUUGGCUCAGCCGGGCGCUCCUCCGCCGACAGCGCCCCCUUGCGGCGGCGGCGCGGCUGGGGCGCCCUCAGGCGGCGGCUCCGCGCAGCCCCGGGACCCCCGGGCGCCCGUCGGCUCCACAGCGCCCUGGCCGAGGCCUGGCCCGAGCUGCCUGGGCUGGUAAGGCGCCCAGGUGCUGUGGGGAUUCCCUCGCCUGUUCCCUCUCGCUCCCGGGCCUGCUGGGUGAGGAGGAGCCUGCGAGGUUCCUGAGCUGAACUGGCCCAUAGAGACCCUGAUGAACACUGAAGCAGAGCGCUGGGGACAGGGAGAAGAGGCAAAUAAGAGGUGACUUUUUGUGGCAAAUACUCCGCACCUCAACACCAGCUGGCUGCUCGGUGGGGAGCACACGGCGGAGCAGAUCCAACUCGAGCCUCUUGAACUGCUUUUAAAUAUUUUGACCCUGCUGGCGAAGGGCUGGACACUGUUCAGGAGGAAAUGACAGCUCGGGUGUGCAGGUGGCGUGCGUGUGGAGCCCCUGGAGCUGUGGCUGCACGAACCACAGGGGGGUUUUCAGCAUCUCUUUACAGCGGAGCAGGAACCAGCUUUUCUGCAGAUUCUGAGAAAACUCCCUUUUUCUACUUGCCCUCCCCAACUUUAUGCCUCACCCCCAUAAAGAAAAUCCCUCCAGUUCUUCUAAGCCACUAAAGAUUAUCUAAUCUCUCCACUUCCUCUAAAUUAGCCGUGAAAUGAGUUCCUGGAGAGACCUGCAGCAGUUUGGAGGUGCCUUCAUCAGCACCUCAGAGCCUGAGACAUGGGGCACUGUUUGUUUUAGCGGUGGAGCCAGCGCUUUAUCGGGCUGGUGCAUGUUCGUUAAGCCGGUGUUUAACUGCCAGUUCCCUGUAAAAGCUUGUUUCUUCUCAUCAUGCCUGAAAGCGUUUGCCUGCUUACCCCUUUUUGGGUGGCUAAAUAUAAAAGCAACCACCACCUACUCCGAAAGGCUUAAUGCCGUAGAACGUCUGUUCAAACCUGAUGCUCCGCAAACCGUCAAAACGGCACCUUGGGGAUGAGCAAUAACUACAAAUACGCGCAUGUGUUGGCAGAUGAAUAAUCUGGAUUAUGGGCACAGUUGUGGGGUAGGGAAGCUUUUAAAAACUGCUGUACUGCCUUAUUUCUCCCACCAGCCCUUACCGGUGUUUUGCAGGGGAAUUAAUGAUGGAAAGGAAGCGAUUUUUGGUGUAUUCAGGAAUUUCCCUAUGGUUGUUGACUUCAGCUGGGUAGUUCUGUUUGCAAGCACCUUUCCCCACCCCAGCUUUUCAGUAUCUAAGGAAAAAGAUAUCAAGUAAAACAGAAAUAAGGAAUGAGAAUCGCACCCACCUCUUUAAGGCUUUGUAAAUCUGAAAGGGGGAAAAAUGUGGAUCACGCUACCAGAGGAUGAUGACAGUACAGCAGACGCUGUGGAUUGUGGCCUGCAGUGGAAUGUCAGCAUUAGUUGUGGCUUUUGCAACUCGACAAAUCCGUCCUGUGAAGGCUGCGCUGUGUCCAUUUAGUGCCCAGGCUGUCCCUGGGAUUACAGUGAGAGAUUUUCAGUCACAGGUCGUGGUGUCAGGCUUGAAAUUGGGUUAAAUGGGGCUGAUAGAGGUGAGUAAAUUCACCAAAUUCUGCUUCUGGCCAUGCCAGGCAGAAUUAUUGUAUUAUUAGCAUUUUUCUUCCUGGCUGUUCUUGCCUUUAAGCUCAUUUUUAGAGGCAAGUCAAAGAAGAAAAAUUAAAUUAAAGGGACAUUUGGAACAAAUUAGGGAAUCAAUCUCCUGGGGCAUUUUGUUUAGACUGACUCUGUGCAAUACUAUUCCAGAGAGAGAAAAAAACCUGUAACACAACUUGGAGUGUGUUUGUCUGUCUAAAGUGAGUUUUCUAUUACUUGUCUACAAAAUCCUGUAGGACAGAAUGUUACUAAUUACUUUGUCUUUAAGACUUUUCUCCCUAUAGCAGAACAGCUCAUUGUUCAGUCGUCUCCUAAGCCAAUUUCCUAGAGAAGUUCAAAUAUCGUUUGACUUUCUGGCUUAGGAGCGUGUUUCCAGGAACAAGCAGUUCUGUGUAACCCAAUAAUUUGCAUUCCGUGCCCUUAGGACUCAGUGAAAACUUGUUGCCUAAACCCUGGAUUUC